rnacentral:lncRNA from 1 species
AUGAUUUAUUGUAUCAAAUCCAUCUCUUUUCGAUUGUUGCUAGUAUUUGCAGUAUCUAGCUUAAAAAAUUCUCUAAAAUUUUGGUUCUACCAUAUGUAAAGUUUAAAAAGAUUGAGUUAGAAGCAUAGUUUCCCAACCUGUUGCUCAUGCUAGAUAUGCUUCUAUACAAUUAUGGCUGAAUUUUUAUCCUUCUUCUUCUGUAUUUUUUGCAGGGUUCCUUUGUGAGGGAUCAAGGUGAUAGAAAUGGCGAAAGUGAAAUGGGAAUGGAGAGACAAAUGACUCUGGAGAUCUAGGCUUGGAGAAUUUCUUUAAGCAGGUCCAGCAACAUAACUUAAUAAUUUCUUUGUGCGUGUGUGUGUGCAUUUUUUAGUUUAUUAUAUAAUUUCUAAUUUGGAAAAUUUUCAUGCCAUUUGAAUGAUAUGCCGGUCGUUAGUGGCGGAUCUACCUAUGAUUUGAAUGAUAUGCCAUUUGUAGCUGCACACCCUUGAUUUUACAAAUAAAUUGUACUGUUAUACAUAAUUUAACUAAGAUAGCUAAUGGUUGAGGUGGUUAAGAGCUUUUUCAAACAUUUAGUAGGUCUAAAGUUCGAUUUUUGCACCUGACAAAUAAUUUUUUUCUUUUUUUCUCAAAUAGUUACUAUUUUUCACCUCUUGUCUCUUUAAAUAUUUCUAAAAUUUUUUGUUCGUUUUUUUUUCUCAGACCAUUGAAAUAGUUAAUAUUUUUCACCUCUUGUCUACUUUAAUAUUUCUAAAAUUUUCCUAAAAUUUACAAAUCGUAAAUUUUUGGUAUUGGUCCGCUAUUUUUUUAAGGUGAUUUAAAUUUUUUAUUUUACGCAAUUUUGAACACCCUUGACAAAAAUCCUGGAUUCGCCACUGCCUGUCGUUAAUAAAUUAAUUUUUGUUACUUGGUGAAUCUUUUAGGUCCAAUUUUAUGAUUUACCCUUUGAAAUUUAUGAUUUAUGAUUUUUACUAUAUAGUAACAUAUAGUAACAUGCAGUCAUGUAUGAGAUAGGUGGAGAGUAUAUGCCGUUGAUGUGUAUGUAUAUCAGUAUGAUAGUGUGUGUGUGUGCAGAUUCAAAUUUGAAGUAAAAUUCGUUGUUUGUUUAACUAUUUUUUUUUCCGCAGGUCUUGGUGUUUGAACUACUGUGUAGUAGGUGUUUGAAGAGUGGACUUUGUGUUCGUCGUUCAAAACAAAGUCAUUCUCGUGUUCAAAAGUGAGAUUUGAGUCAGCUCUAGUCGUAUAGAUACCUAUUGAUAACGAUAGUCAUGGAUAGUUCCAUGUAGUAAUAUAUAGUUAUAUACAAGCUAUGUAGUUUUUCUGAUGUAUAGUGAUCUUGUUGAUUGUGUUUAUUCCAUUUUUUUGGUUGGG